rnacentral:rRNA from 1 species
GUCUCAGGCCGUAUCAGCCUGAAGGCGCCCGAUCUCGUCCGAUCUCGGAAGCUAAGCAGGGUCGGGCCUGGUUAGGAUCUUGGAUGGGAGACCACCUGGGAAUCCCGGGUGCUCGAGGCU